UAAUUACAAGUGAUAAGAGAGAUAUGCGCUAACAUAUCUUCUCCUAUGUAGAGCCGUUUAAGACGGUAGCGAGUUUUUUAGGUCAUGAAAU
rnacentral:sRNA from 1 species